rnacentral:rRNA from 1 species
GUGAGGAAUAUUGCGCAAUGGAGGCAACUCUGACGCAGCCAUGCCGCGUGCAGGAAGAAGGCGCUACGCGUUGUAAACUGCUUUUAACCGGGAAGAAACCCCAGGACGUGUCCUGGGUUGACGGUACCGGAGGAAUAAGCACCGGCUAACUUCGUGCCAGCAGCCGCGGUAAUACGAAGGGUGCAAGCGUUAUCCGGAUUCAUUGGGUUUAAAGGGUGCGUAGGCGGAGCGUUAAGUCAGUGGUGAAAUCCUGCAGCUUAACUGUAGACUUGCCAUUGAUACUGGCGCUCUUGAGUGCGCUUGAAGUGGGCGGAAUGUGCCGUGUAGCGGUGAAAUGCUUAGAUAUGGCACAGAACACCAAUUGCGAAGGCAGCUCACUAAGGCGAUACUGACGCUGAGGCACGAAAGCGUGGGGAUCGAACAAGAUUAGAAACCCUGGUAGUCC